rnacentral:rRNA from 1 species
GACGAACGCUGGCGGCGUGCUUAACACAUGCAAGUCGAACGUGAUUUUUGUGGAAAUUCUUUCGGGAAUGGAAAUGAAAUGAAAGUGGCGAACGGGUGAGUAACACGUGAGCAACCUACCUUACACAGGGGGAUAGCCGUUGGAAACGACGAUUAAUACCGCAUGAGACCACAGAAUCGCAUGAUAUAGGGGUCAAAGAUUUAUCGGUGUAAGAAGGGCUCGCGUCUGAUUAGCUAGUUGGAAGGGUAAAGGCCUACCAAGGCGACGAUCAGUAGCCGGUCUGAGAGGAUGAACGGCCACAUUGGAACUGAGACACGGUCCAAACUCCUACGGGAGGCAGCAGUGGGGAAUAUUGCACAAUGGGGGGAACCCUGAUGCAGCGACGCCGCGUGAGCGAAGAAGGUUUUCGAAUCGUGAAGCUCUGUCCUAUGAGAAGAUAAUGACGGUAUCAUAGGAGGAAGCCCCGGCUAAAUACGUGCCAGCAGCCGCGGUAAUACGUAUGGGGCGAGCGUUGUCCGGAAUUAUUGGGCGUAAAGGGUACGUAGGCGGCCUUUUAAGUCAAGUGUGAAAGCGUGAGGCUUAACCUCAUUAAGCACUUGAAACUGGAAGACUUGAGUGAAGGAGAGGAAAGUGGAAUUCCUAGUGUAGCGGUGAAAUGCGUAGAUAUUAGGAGGAAUACCGGUGGCGAAGGCGACUUUCUGGACUUUUACUGACGCUCAGGUACGAAAGCGUGGGGAGCAAACAGG